CGGAACGUACCUUUCAGUGGGGGAUAACGUAGCGAAAGUUACGCUAAUACCGCAUAUUCUGUGAGCAGGAAAGCAGGGGAUCGCAAGACCUUGCGCUGAUUGAGCGGCCGAUAUCAGAUUAGCUAGUUGGUGAGGUAAAGGCUCACCAAGGCGACGAUCUGUAGCGGGUCUGAGAGGAUGAUCCGCCACACUGGAACUGAGACACGGUCCAGACUCCUACGGGAGGCAGCAGUGGGGAAUUUUGGACAAUGGGCGCAAGCCUGAUCCAGCCAUGCCGCGUGAGUGAAGAAGGCCUUCGGGUUGUAAAGCUCUUUCAGCCGGGGAAAACGCAUGGGUUAAUACCCUGUGUGGAUGACGGUACCGGAAUAAGAAGCACCGGCUAACUACGUGCCAGCAGCCGCGGUAAUACGUAGGGUGCGAGCGUUAAUCGGAAUUACUGGGCGUAAAGCGUGCGCAGGCGGUUUGUUAAGAUAGGCGUGAAAUCCCCGGGCUCAACCUGGGAACUGCGUUUAUGACUGGCAGGCUAGAGUAUGGCAGAGGGGGGGUGGAAUUCCACGUGUAGCAGUGAAAUGCGUAGAGAUGUGGAGGAACACCGAUGGCGAAGGCAGCCCCCUGGGCCAAUACUGACGCUCAUGCACGAAAGCGUGGGUAGCAAACAGGAUUAGAUACCCUGGUAGUCCACGCCCUAAACGAUGUCAACUAGGUGUUGGGAGGGUAAAACCUUUUAGUACCGGAGCUAACGCGUGAAGUUGACCGCCUGGGGAGUACGGCCGCAAGGUUAAAACUCAAAGGAAUUGACGGGGACCCGCACAAGCGGUGGAUGAUGUGGAUUAAUUCGAUGCAACGCGAAAAACCUUACCUACCCUUGACAUGUCCGGAAGCCCUUAGAGAUUUGGGUGUGCUCGAAAGAGAGCCGGAACACAGGUGCUGCAUGGCUGUCGUCAGCUCGUGUCGUGAGAUGUUGGGUUAAGUCCCGCAACGAGCGCAACCCUUGUCGUUAAUUGCCAUCAUUUAGUUGGGCACUUUAACGAGACUGCCGGUGACAAACCGGAGGAAGGUGGGGAUGACGUCAAGUCCUCAUGGCCCUUAUGGGUAGGGCUUCACACGUCAUACAAUGGUCGGUACAAAGGGUUGCCAACCCGCGAGGGGGAGCUAAUCCCAGAAAGCCGAUCGUAGUCCGGAUUGCAGGCUGCAACUCGCCUGCAUGAAGUCGGAAUCGCUAGUAAUCGUGGAUCAGCAUGUCACGGUGAAUACGUUCCCGGGUCUUGUACACACCGCCCGUCACACCAUGGGAGCGGGUUCCGCCAGAAGUAGGUAGCCUAACCGCAAGGAGGGCGCUUACCACGGCGGGGUUCGUGACUGGGGUGAAGUCGUAACAAGGUA
rnacentral:rRNA from 1 species